AACGAACGCUGGCGGCAUGCCUAACACAUGCAAGUCGAACGAGACCUUCGGGUCUAGUGGCGCACGGGUGCGUAACGCGUGGGAACCUGCACUUAGGUUCGGAAUAACUCCCCGAAAGGGGUGCUAAUACCGGAUAAUGUCUUCGGACCAAAGAUUUAUCGCCUUUGGAUGGGCCCGCGUUGGAUUAGCUAGUUGGUAGGGUAAAAGCCUACCAAGGCGACGAUCGAUAGCUGGUCUGAGAGGAUGAUCAGCCACACUGAGACUGGGACACGGCCCAGACUCCUACGGGAGGCAGCAGUGGGGAAUAUUGGACAAUGGGCGAAAGCCUGAACCAGCAAUGCCGCGUGAGUGAUGAAGUCCUUAGGGUUGUAAAGCUCUUUUACCCGGGAUGAUAAUGACAGUACCGGGAGAAUAAGCUCCGGCUAACUCCGUG
rnacentral:rRNA from 1 species